AAUCGUUGAAUUUAGAAACAGCAUUUGAAAUAUAAAACUUCACAAACUUUUUUAAAUAUAAUUUUAGAAGGCAUCGCGUUUCACGGUUCCUAAUUAUCCCAGUUUCGAUGGUCAGACCGAGAGAAUGGUUGCAGUAGUUAAAUGUGGUUAAAAAAGGAAAAGUAUGGUGAGGGUGAAAAAUGGUUAUCUCAAUUGUUCUACAAUAAUAACAGAAGAUUAGUCUCAGGCGGAAAGAUUCCUGCAAGGAAAGACAUUAAUAUGGAAUCGCUAAAUGAAGGAGGAAAUGGAAAAGCCGGAUACGUAGUGAAGUCUAAUAAAUCUUGCCUUGACUUAAAGUCAAUGUUUUGACGUUUAAAAGAAAACUUAGAUGGACGAUUGAAAAGGUGGAAAAAAUAAUCGGCAAUACGAAAUACAAGGUUAAAGCGGAAUUGUAUAUUGAAGCAUCAAGAUCAAUUAGGUCUAGAGAGGAAUGUUAAAGGAAGGGAGAUGUUGUAAUCAUGAUUAUACGAGAGAGGGAUAUAGUGAUUGAUGUUAGAGGGUAUCGCGUCAUUACAGAGAAACUAUUAUAGAUAAGACACACGGAUAAUCCAUUCUUUAGUAUAAAGUUAUUUGUCACGAAGCGAUGAACCUUAAUCGUACAAAACCUCAAUGUGUUGUAUUAAAUUCCAUGUGGAUGAAUGCAGUGGGCGUGCCAGAACUAAUAACGGAAUACCUACAUUCCACAAUCAAAAGCAUAAUCAAGUACCAGAUAUUGCAGAUAUUGAAGCAAGAAGAGAGCUAAAUAGAAUUAAACAAGAGACAUCUAGUUCCCAAUCUCUGCCUGUUAUGUUAUAGGAAUUAAUAAAUUAAAAUAUUAUAUAUUUUGGUUAUUGAAUAGUAUUAUGUUUUAAUUUAUGUA